AAAGCAAAACAAACUUUACAUUACAAAGGAAGAACAAAAAAAUACAGUAUGAGAGAACACACUAGGAGUUACAGGAAAAGUUAAAUUUGGGGGCAGAGGGCCUCGUCCGGGUAGCAUCCUGGGCAUUCUCGUCGCUUAGCUGACACACGUGGCGCUCGCUCCCGCCACGUGCCACGUGGGCCCGGGCCACGGAUACGGCCACGGCCACGGGCCACGGGCCACGGAUUCUCUCUCGGAAACACGUCCCAAGCACGACUGAUCAUAGGACUCAGAGAAUAAGAACGUCACGUCAUCCUGACGUGCAAGCGCGGGUUACUUUCUGUAGUCAGUAAGUUUAGAAAGAUGGGCAUUAAAUAAUCUAAAAAAAAAAAAAUAAAAAUAAUAAAAAUAAAAAUAAAAAAUAACCACACACUCUCGCUCUGCUGUACACGUAUGAACACAAAUAUUUACACGGGGAGGGGAGGGGACGCGCGGGGUCAGAAACAGAUGAGGUUUGCAGUUCGCGGGUGAUGGCAAUCUCUCGGGGGCUGGAUUCUUUGGUGUACGCGCCAGAUACGUGUUUAUAUGCGAAGGUUUUCCGGAGGCCUCAGUCCUAAAUCUUCAGAGCAAACAGGGAGGAUCCGUGACCAACCGAAUGCCGCUCUGAACACCUCCGUCAGGAUCCCGGGAAAAGCAAUCGGUGGAUUUUUUUUUUUAAUUUUUAUUUUUUUUUCUGAAAAAUACUCCUUUCUCUCUGCUCCUCGUGGGACCCCGGGACGGAUGCUUCCAGAACAAUCCGAUUCGAACACGGACCCCGCACGUGGGUCCCGCCGUCCCACGGGGGACCGACCGCCGGACGAUGUAGUGACUGAGAAAGAACAGCUGAUGUGAUUGGGGGGAUGGGGGUGGGGGGUCUGUUACCAAAACAAUAAAAAAAAAAUAUAUAUAUAUAUAUAUAUAUAUAUAUAUAUAAAUGAAACAUUCUUUUGAAGCGUCCGGAGAGAUCGAACCUCAGACAAUAAAUAAAUAACGGGACCCGGAUGCUCGCCUUCGUUCGGUGGGAAUCUCAGUCCCGCAGGGAGCUCUCUCAUCACUGUCUUGCGACACAGGACGGAGAAUUCACCUUGGACUUGAACUCGGUGGCCUGCUCGGGGAGGAGAAAGCUCGGGACGGACCGCUGAGAGAGAACACACACACGCGCAGGCGGAGAGAGGGCCCCGUGCCUGCCUGCGGGGCCUGGUGUUCUGGGGGAGAAGGCAGGUUCCAUUCACUCCUGGCCGGGCCGCGUCCCGGAUGUUAAAGGAUCCCUAUGCGGCUUGGCCUCCGAUGUCCCGAGCGAGGGAAGUGAGCUUCUCGGGGCUGUUUUUACGGGGAGAGGGACACGUCGCCUCGUCCUAGCCUCCUGGCCGCGGUGACACAAGCCGGCCGCACGCUCCCGGCUCCCCCACCGGCGCCCCCCGAGGCACCACCCUCUUCCCAAAGGCGCCCCCCCCCCCCCCCGAUUCGCUGUGGGGACGGCUUAGGGCCGCAGGAGCAGACACUCAGACGAGAGGGCAUGGUUCCCCGAGGCGAUGGGCACCGUCCCGGACGUUGGAGAAGGCUUUUCGGGACCGGGACGCCCCGUCGGGCAGGGCGCCCGCCUCCGAGGGCCUCGCCCCGGAUCCCCGCGGCUUCCGGAAGCUUCUACGCGUUAUCACGGCCGUGUUUUCAUGCUGCCGGCCCCGCCGACCCAGAGGACAAGGUCCCCGUGGAUGAUCGCACGGCGGGCACAUCGGGGGGCUCACCAGAUUCGCCGACGAUGCGCACCGACGGGGAAUGCCACCCUUCGGAGAUCCGGCUUCACCGGGGAGGGGAAAAACCCCACGGAAACCCCACACAGGACACGAACAACAGCACGGAACCGCCUUGAGGGAGCUCACCGGCACAGCCACGGGGUUAAUGCCGUCUGGGGGCUCCCUCUCCCGCCCGGAUAGGACACUGCUGAGGUGCUUUAGAAAAACGGGGGACUGUGGCCUUAGAAAGCGAUGUUUUCUCCUCUCCCCCCCCCCCCCCCCUCUCUCGUUAGUUUUUUAAAUUUUUUUAUUAAAGCACUAUUCCCACAGGGACCUGGGGAGGCCCCGUGUCCCCGGGGCAGCGCCCUGCGGGGGUUAAAAAAAAUUAAGUUAAAAACAACAGCACGCCCACUGGGGAAAGAGAGAGGUACUGGGGUUUGGCGCCCCCCCCUCCCCCAAUCCCCCUGCCUCCCCACCCCCGAAGGCGACAGGAACUAGGAAAGAAACCGAUUCAAACAGCCGAUCUGUAUUCGUUAAAAAAAAAACACAAAAACAAACAAACAAAAAAAACCCCAAAAACUGACGAGGGGACAGGAGUACUUACAAAAUUUUUGGGGGGGGAGGGGUGCAUUUUCCAGUAGAACCCAGAACCCCCUCUUGGGCGGGGCGGGGACUGGCGACGUUAUUACAUGUGACCCUGCUGGUUCGGAACAUGCACAGAGGCCCGGGAACCCGUGACAUCGGCCGGGGGGGCCCCCCCCCCAGCCCCCGCGUGCGUGACCGUGAACAUGGUGGUGGCGGCAUCGGAGAGAAGGCUUGGACCUCCCCAACCUGGACCAGGAAACCGAAUUAAGAUCUUCAAGCACAUGGUGUGUUUACAGGUAGUUAUAUAUAUAUA